GUUCAGUGAGACUUGUUGGAGAUCUUCAUUAGGCUUUUUAUGUAAGGCCCAUUAUUACAGAGAACCUAAUUAUUCACACAUCAUAAUUACAUACAAAGGUAGUAGAAACACAAGGAAACCCUACGAAACUCUCCGCCCUCUGCCUUUUUCUCCUUCACCGACCCGUUUUAUAUAUGGAAGCGGAAAGAAACAAGAGCUUAAGGACAAAGAGGUGGUAGGACAAAAAUGAGUCCAGGUUUCUGUUAUUUUGGUGAUUACCUUUCAAAUGACCCUCAAGUUCAACCAAGUAUACAUUGCUUCUGUUAUUUCUUAUUCCUGGUGGCUAGUUAGCCAUUCACAUCCAAAAGCUAUAUCUUACGUGUGAAUGGUAGUAGGCUCACCUAAAUCAGGUCUUGGCGGCCUUCUCUUGGGGAACUGGAUUCUCUUCCUGAGUUUCACUUACAGGCUGUCAACAACAUUCCUCCUUAUUCUCAUUUUGUCUAAUUAUCAAUGCUACUACUUUUAGUAAUAGUACUGAUGAAUAAAAUGUUGAUUCUUUGUUCCUGGAUUUCUAGAUUCCAGGUUGUAUUUUCAAUUUAUAAACAAGGGAAAAAAACAGAAUAGUCGGCAUCGAGGGGUUUUAAAAAACUGUUCUUAUCGGUCCUACUUGCAGGCCAAGCUUGAUGGAAGAAGAUAAUAAUAACUUUAUGCUCAUUCAUUUGUUGGGUCGGACUUAGUUUUUAGUCCUUUAAAGCAAGAGUGGUCAUUGGUGUAGGCAUGCCUUGUUCCCUCGCCUAUCGGAUCUUGAUGCGUCACAAGAUGCAAUCGAUCAUGCAAGUUAUAAAUUCAAGGUGGAGGGGUUGCCUGAUGCACCAGUCUUUCCUUCGUUCCAAUCUUGGGGCAGCCUCCCUUUCCGAGUAUCUAUAUUCCCCCUCAUCCGAGGCUCAGAUUUAACCUCCAUAAUUAAUCUCAAUAUGGGGCUCCAACAUCCUUCCUGUCAGAAGUUGAUGAUCUCUUAGCUCAGAAGACAUUUAUACAAGGCGACUGCGAAUCUCUAUAGCAGACAGCUUUCAGGACCUACAGAAGAUAGUAUUCAUAAGGAUGAGACAAAUUAAAGCAAAUGAACCGAUGCCUAGGACUACUAUGGUGUUUUUAUCUUCAUUCUACAUCCAAUUUGCUUAACAUAUACAUACAUAGUCGAAGUUACUUCCUUUUAACAA